GCAAUGAGCGCGUACCAGACGACAUACAAGCCUACGCAGCCGGAGCGCUGGAAGCUCACCUUACUCGUCGACGGUUACAACAACACUGGACGAACCUUUUCGCGGAUUACUGUGAAAAUCAGGCAGAGUACUGCCGCAAGCUCGAACAAUUCUUUUUGCAGAACAUCAAGUACACACUAGAACAAGGCCAUCAACGCAGGCACGACGACUCAUUUUGGAAUAUGGUGUACCUUUAUUACAAGCAAAUGGCGGGUCUCAGCGAUGCAUGGGAGAAUCAAACACUUGACGUUUCACGAGAAAUACAAGGGGUCCCGCGAGCUUUCUAUAUGAACGCUUUGGAUGACAUCUACGAUUUGGAAAGCGUGCUUGGGAGGAAGACAGACAUGCACUCGAUCGCGCAGAUACUUUCCUGCACUGCACUCGUCAAGAUUGUUGGUGACUUCGAUGACUUGUACAUGGCUCAUGACACGUGGUUCCUUUACCGUGGAAUGCUGCGUGUACAAAAGAUGUACAUAUUUCCUUGGCAUCGCACUGCAUCGGAUACUA